GUCAACUACCCACCACUUAACCCUUUAACCAUUAACAGGUUUUGAAGUGGGGGCUUGUAAGAGCUCUAGUUGUCUAGCCUCUGUCUUCCAGUACAUGAUCAUUCAUGGUGAGUAGACGACGUUGGGACCACAUUCGGUGGGCUUGCAUGUUUUUAUGCAGGUGCGAAUACGGUUUGGUAUGAUUCCCUAGUACCUCGAUCGUU
rnacentral:sRNA from 13 species